rnacentral:rRNA from 1 species
CGCGUGUGUGAAGAAGGUCUUCGGAUUGUAAAGCUUUUUAAGUUGGGAGGAAGGGCAGUAAGUUAAUACCUUGCUGUUUUGACGUUACCAACAGAAUAAGCACCGGCUAAAUUCGUGCCAGCAGCCGCGGUAAU